rnacentral:rRNA from 1 species
GACGAACGCUGGCGGCGUGCUUAACACAUGCAAGUCGAACGGAAAUACCAAGCUUGCUUGGUUGGUUAGUGGCGAACGGGUGAGUAACACGUGAGUGACCUGCCACUUACUUUUCUGGAUAACUGCACGGAAGGGUAGCUAAUACGGGAUAUUCUGACCAGCCCGCGAGGGAUGGGUUGGAAAGGGUGUUGUUCUGGUAAGGGAUGGGCUCGCGGCAUGUCAGCGUGUUGGUGGGGUGAUGGCCUGCCAAGGCUGUGACGGGUAGCCGGGCUGGGAGGGUGUACGCUGACACUGGGACUGAGCUACGGCCCAGAGACCUACGGGCGGCAGCAGUGGGGAAGAGUGCAAACUGGGGGCGAGCCUGAUGCAGCGACGCCGCGUGGACGAUGCAGCGCUGCGGGAUGUAAGCCUCUUUCGUGAUGGAACAAGGCACUGAUUAUGUGCUGGUGUUGACGGUACCUGAAUAAGAAGCGCCGGCUAACUACGUG